AAAGAAAAAGGCAAUCAAGCACCUGAAAUGGAAUGAAGAGGAAGAGUUUACGGAGAAGGAAGUCUGAAGGCAAAUAAAACAAACUUCGCUUGGAAAUCUUAUUAAUUUUAUGACAUUAUUAUCAUCUUGCUAAGACCCAGUCACCCCUGAUGGCUACUUCUAAUGUUGUAUUGCCAAGAUUUGAGGGAGAGGCUUCAGGGACAUGGGACCGGGAUUGAUAAAACACAGACGAAAAGAAAGGGCCAAGAGAAGGUGACAGUGAAUUGGUCUCUUGUUGAGUCUGGUCUGUCUUCCCUCCUGGAGGCAGAGAUGGCAGCAGGAAGCCGUCUCUUUGCCAAGUCACACAGUCGGUGAGGUGAGCACUGCUGCGGAGGAGGCAGUGGGAGCCUUCGGCCUCCACUGU